rnacentral:rRNA from 1 species
AGAGUUUGAUCCUGGCUCAGGAUGAACGCUGGCGGCGUGCCUAACACAUGCAAGUCGAACGCGCUCCAUUCGGUAGCAAUACCGAUGAAGAGCGAGUGGCGAACGGGUGAGUAACACAUGAGCAACCUGCCCCGAAGACUGGGACAACACCGGGAAACCGGUGCUAAUACCGGAUAUCCCUAUCGGACCGCAUGAUCUGAUAAGGAAAUGGAUUCCGCUUCGGGAGGGGCUCGUGGCCUAUCAGCUAGUUGGUGAGGUAACGGCUCACCAAGGCAUCGACGGGUAGCUGGUCUGAGAGGACGAUCAGCCACACUGGGACUGAGACACGGCCCAGACUCCUACGGGAGGCAGCAGUGGGGAAUCUUGCGCAAUGGGCGAAAGCCUGACGCAGCAACGCCGCGUGGAGGACGAAUGCUUUCUGAGUUG